AUUGAACGCUGGCGGCAUGCCUUACACAUGCGAGUCGAACGGCAGCACGGGAGCAAUCCUGGUGGCGAGUGGCGAACGGGUGAGUAAUAUAUCGGAACGUGCCCAGUCGUGGGGGAUAACGUAGCGAAAGCUACGCUAAUACCGCAUACGAUCUAUGGAUGAAAGCGGGGGAUCGCGAGACCUCGCGCGAUUGGAGCGGCCGUUAUCAGAUUAGGUAGUUGGUGAGGUAAAGGCUCACCAAGCCGACGAUCUGUAGCUGGUCUGAGAGGACGACCAGCCACACUGUGACUGAGACACGGCCCAGACUCCUACGGGAGGCAGCAGUGGGGAAUUUUGGACAAUGGGCGCAAGCCUGAUCCAGCAAUGCCGCGUGCAGGAUGAAGGCCUUCGGGUUGUAAACUGCUUUUGUACGGAGCGAAAAGGCUUCCACUAAUACUGGGGGCUCAUGACGGUACCGUAAGAAUAAGCACCGGCUAACUACGUGCCAGCCGCCGCGGUAAAAC
rnacentral:rRNA from 1 species